rnacentral:lncRNA from 1 species
GCCCAUCCCUGUUUCCUUUUUAUUACCCAUCGUUUCUAAGGUAUUAGCAAAACUCCUGUCUGAAUGGCUCAAUUAGUUCUUUGGAUAGAUAAGUAGACUUGGGGCCUCUGUGCUGCCCUACAAGACCCUUCCCCAAACCCAGGGCACGUCCCAGCAGGGUUAUUGCAGGGUCAGCCCCAUUGUCCUCUGUCCAUGUGUCUGUUACACCCCACGAACUGGUUCUGCAUUCCAGCUAGCACCACCUCCCUUCCCUAUCCAGUAUGACCAGGGCUGAGUGCAACCAGCCUCCGGCCACGGGGUAGCAUUGCCUUUCCUGGCCCUAGAGCUAGUGACAUGGCUGCUGGGCCCAUAAGGAAUCUUAAUUAAAGGCAAUAGAGCAAAGGAGAGUAUGGCCCAACCUAGUUUCUGAUAGGCUCUCCUUGGUCUUAUGAGUGGAAAUGGAAGAUAUCCUGAUCCUAGAUAUCUUCCCCUGUGCCUGUGAGCUUGACCACACUAUGGACGACACUGGCAGGAGUGGGAAGUUAAUGUCAUGCCCAUGAUAUGAGGUCAAUCUUUCAACAGCAUUCAACCAGGACUCACAACACCUGGCUGUAAAGGGGCCACUAGAGUGGCAGUAGGCAAAUCAGAGUCCUAGACGUAAAAACUAAACAGGAUCCUAGUGGUCUGCUGUGGAAGCAGCUCUGCCUGCUGGGGUUCCUCAGCUCUGUUUGUGUAGUGACCCUCCAGCCAGCGUCCCUCAGCCAGGACUUUAUCUGCCUCUUCUGGUUGUAAAAAGAAUUGCCAGGGCCUCUUGGAGUCAAUAAGAAUGGUCAGAAGGACUUCCUGCAGAUCCUGUGAUGCAGAUGGUUAUUGUUCAGUGCUGGGCCUGUGCUAGGUACUCAAUAUGCAAUUGCCAGGAAGACAUGCAGUCUGUCCUCAAAAAGCUCACAGCAGAGUGAAGAAGCUUGGUUUUCCAGAUCAAUGGAUGGUGAGUUGCAGAGAAUCUUCAAGAACUCUACCAUCUUUUGACAUGUCAGGGAUCUAAAUGAAAAAUGAAAAAUAUGGAAAUGGGUCUUUUGAAAGCACCUUCUUGAGCAACUGCUCAGGUUCAAGAUAGGUGAGCUCAAGAUAAGGUUUUACUAUAGAUGAUGUAACUGCUCUAACUACAACCACGGAAAAAGCAAGGUUGGAAGUCUUCCUGAGGCCACUCCAAGUUCUUCCAGUGAAGGUCACCAUUGCGGAUCCUCUUCUUUAAGGAGAACAAAGGUGUUCUGAGGUAGUGGAUUCCCAAGCAUGAGGCUGCUUCAGGAAUCCCAAGCUCAUAGUUCUAUGUCUGGGUUCAUUCAUCACUGUGGAUGCAAGCUACUACUUCUCACAACCUAGAAUUUACUAUUGAAGCUGAGUUUAACCACGGUAUCACUGAUGAUGGAGACCACUGGGGAUCAGCUACUUGGAACUGAGGAAGGAGUGGUACCCAGAAUUCAUAAAAGCCCCUGACGAUAUAUAGCAGGAGUAAAGGAAUUCCACUGCCUACGCAAAACGCUGUGCCUUUACAUGCUGAUUACAAGCCUCUGUGAUAAUUUUUUUCUUAAAAUAAACCAAGUCUCAGAAUGGUGUCAUCCCCAGUUCUUGUGUUUAUUCAUUUAUACACACAUUCAUUCAAAAAAUAUUUAGGUACUUACUGUGUGACAGGCACUAUUCUAAGUGAUGGAACACAGCAAUGCAUAAGUCAUUCAAGGUUACUGCUCUCCAGUGGAGGAGACAGAAAAUAAACCCAGAAAAA